rnacentral:rRNA from 1 species
UACGUAGGUGACAAGCGUUGUCCGGAUUUACUGGGCGUAAAGAGCGCGCAGGCGGUCGUUCAAGUCGAGUGUGAAAGCCCCCGGCUCAACUGGGGAGGGUCACUCGAUACUGAUCGACUCGAAGGCAGGAGAGGGUAGUGGAAUUCCCGGUGUAGUGGUGAAAUGCGUAGAUAUCGGGAGGAACACCAGUGGCGAAGGCGACUACCUGGCCUGUUCUUGACGCUGAGGCGCGAAAGC